rnacentral:rRNA from 1 species
GAUGAACGCUGGCGGCAUGCCUAAGACAUGCAAGUCGAACGAGGUGGCCUUUUGAAAACGGAGUGCUUGCACAAAGUUGGAUAGAGAUUUUCCACCUAGUGGCAGACGGGUGAGUAACACGUAAGUAAUCUACCGUAAAGACUGGGAUAACGUUUGGAAACGAACGCUAAUACCGGAUAACUCAUAUUUGGAUAACUAGAUAUGCUAAAAGGAGCUUCGGCUUCACUUUACGAUGAGCUUGCGGCGUAUUAACUAGUUGGUGGGGUAAUGGCCUACCAAGGUGACGAUGCGUAGCCGAACUGAGAGGUUGAUCGGCCACAUUGGGACUGAGACACGGCCCAA